ensembl:snoRNA SNORD34 Small nucleolar RNA SNORD34
AGGCGUCUGUGAUGUUCCUUAAAUCUACCUACAUUGUUUGAACCCCAUGAGAAGAGCUUUGGCUGAGACGCUG